UACAGGGGGGUGCAAACGUUGCUCGGAAUCAUUGGGCGUAAAGCGCACGUAGGCGGUUCGUUAUGUCGGAUGUGAAAGCCCUUGGCUUAACCGAGGAAGUGCAUCCGAAACUGGCGAGCUAGAGUACUAAAGAGGAUCGCGGAAUUCCCGGUGUAGAGGUGAAAUUCGUAGAUAUCGGGAGGAACACCGGUGGCGAAGGCGGCGAUCUGGGUAGAUACUGACGCUGAGGUGCGAAAGCGUGGGGAGCGAACAGG
rnacentral:rRNA from 1 species